GAGUUUGAUCUUGGCUCAGAUUGAACGCUGGCGGCAGGCCUAACACAUGCAAGUCGAGCGGUAGAGAGAAGCUUGCUUCUCUUGAGAGCGGCGGACGGGUGAGUAAUGCCUAGGAAUCUGCCUGGUAGUGGGGGAUAACGUUCGGAAACGGACGCUAAUACCGCAUACGUCCUACGGGAGAAAGCAGGGGACCUUCGGGCCUUGCGCUAUCAGAUGAGCCUAGGUCGGAUUAGCUAGUUGGUGAGGUAAUGGCUCACCAAGGCGACGAUCCGUAACUGGUCUGAGAGGAUGAUCAGUCACACUGGAACUGAGACACGGUCCAGACUCCUACGGGAGGCAGCAGUGGGGAAUAUUGGACAAUGGGCGAAAGCCUGAUCCAGCCAUGCCGCGUGUGUGAAGAAGGUCUUCGGAUUGUAAAGCACUUUAAGUUGGGAGAAGGGCAGUUACCUAAUACGUGAUUGUUUUGACGUUACCGACAGAAUAAGCACCGGCUAACUCUGUGCCAGCA
rnacentral:rRNA from 1 species